rnacentral:rRNA from 1 species
AUCGCAAGACCUCGCGCGAUUGGAGCGGCCGAUGGCAGAUUAGGUAGUUGGUGGGGUAAAGGCUCACCAAGCCGACGAUCUGUAGCUGGUCUGAGAGGACGACCAGCCACACUGGGACUGAGACACGGCCCAGACUCCUACGGGAGGCAGCAGUGGGGAAUUUUGGACAAUGGGCGCAAGCCUGAUCCAGCCAUUCCGCGUGCAGGAUGAAGGCCCUCGGGUUGUAAACUGCUUUUGUACGGAACGAAAAGGUGCUCUCUAAUACAGGGCGCUGAUGACGGUACCGUAAGAAUAAGCACCGGCUAACUACGUGCCAGCAGCCGCGGUAAUACGUAGGGUGCAAGCGUUAAUCGGAAUUACUGGGCGUAAAGCGUGCGCAGGCGGUGAUGUAAGACAGGUGUGAAAUCCCCGGGCUUAACCUGGGAACUGCAUUUGUGACUGCAUCGCUGGAGUGCGGCAGAGGGGGAUGGAAUUCCGCGUGUAGCAGUGAAAUGCGUAGAUAUGCGGAGGAACACCGAUGGCGAAGGCAAU